AGCAAGCUUUACCCUAGAGAUGCUUUUGCUUUCAGCAGAGCAGUUUUGUAACAUUUACUUUUAAAAGUCUUUCAUUCUCUCUUGAAUGCUUUUAGAUUACUAUGAUGGAACAUAACUUUGGAUGUUAACAGUGACAGUCUUUGGACUCACACAUAGUCAUGCCUCAAACUAUGACAGCAUACCGAAAAACUUUUUGGUGAAUAUGUGAAAAGAGAACCAUCCUAACUAACAAGUUUUGAAUAAAAUAGUUACAUCUAAUUUUCUGAUUGUGCCUUUGCACACAGUGCCCAUGGCCUUGAGGGAGAAAGAGCAAAAGAGCAUCUGAAUAGACAUAGAAGACAUCAGAGAAAUGGAGUCCAAAUCAGAGCACUUCAUUUCAUUCUGUAGAACAUUACAGAUUUUUUUUCCCCAAAGCAAACAAGAAUUCAUAAGAAAAAGAAAAAACUACUCAUGAUGUUACUUAGCUCUUUAUUAGUGAAAUGUAGGUUUUAUGAAGUCAGUUCUUAUUCAAUGACAACAAAAUCUUACCAAGACUUUUAUAGAUGAAUAGGAUUUUUCAGCUAACAGGGCCAUGUGUGGUGCUGUGGAAAGUGUAAUGGACAAGAGAUACUGGAUUCUAAUUCUGGAUCUGCCAUCCUGGAUGCUUGAGGAAGAAUAAUUUCUAAGUUUCAGCAAGAAGCAGACAAUGAUUCAAUUGGCAAAAGUUAUUUUGAGGAUUCAGUGAAACAACUCAGGUAUAUAGUAAGGAGAAUGUGUCUAAGAAUGUUCAGGUUUUGUGUUCAAUGUGAAUACAACAUGUCAGUAAAUAAAAGCAAUAUACUCAAUGCCAUUUUGAGCCCCAGUAAAAGAGAAAGAAUUAAGGAAAAAAUAAAAUACAUGGUAAAGCUAUAAAAUCUUUCAAGUUGUUUCUCCUUACUUAACCAAUUUUAACAAAUAUUUGAAUCCCUAGUCUUUCAUCCUCUUUUUCUUACCCUCAGCUGUGUUUCUGAUUGGUCCCAUCUGUUCCCACUAAAUUCCAUGUUAUUCUCUUCUUGAAAUGCUUUUUCAUUGUGCUCCCUUCUCUCUUCUACUUUCUUUUUUGCUUAGACACAGUAUAUUUAUUUACUUUCACAUUUCACUUUAAUUUUCUUGAAGAAAGCUCUCCUUAACUGAGACCCUGAUUAGGCUGACUUCCAUUUCUGUAGCCAUUUAGGCAUUUGAUAACUCUGGGUCAUAUGUGUGUCGCAUCUGCCAGAUGGGCAUCACAAAGGCACAGGUUUGUUAUGUCCAUAAAACCCAGUGUGUGUGUUGCCUAGCACACUGCACACACUCAAAACUAUAUUGGGGCCAAUAAUUGAAUGGAUAAAUGCAUUUCAUUUUUAAAAUUUCAUAUUUUUUCUGUUAGAAAUGAAGUUUCAAAGAUGAUUUAAUAUUAAUUUUGUCUUAUGGAUUUAUUUACUUUGUAUAUCACUUCCUUUAAAUCAGUAGUACUCAGUGUAUCUAGAUAAAAGAUAUUUCAUCAAUUAAAUAUGGUCUUGAUAUCUACAAUGAAAAUCAUGAAUACUUUUUUCAUUCAUCGCUAUGUGUGUGUGUGUGUGUGUGUGUGUGAGUGUGAGUGCACGCGUGCACGCGAGUGAAAUUUCUCAGUGAUGAAGCUUAAUGAAGCAAUAUGGAUAGUAGAAGGGAAAUAGAACCUAAAUGGUGGGUCUAAGAGCUGACCCUGAUUAAUGCUGGGCAAAUCAUUUAGCACUUUUGAGAUUCCUUAUGGCUAAAAAAGGAAGAAAUGAAUAUCCAUUGCCCAACUCACAUGAUUUUUUGGAGGAUCUAAUAGAUACAUACAUA
rnacentral:lncRNA from 1 species